rnacentral:rRNA from 1 species
UACGGAGGGGGCUAGCGUUGUUCGGAAUUACUGGGCGUAAAGCGCACGUAGGCGGAUUGUUAAGUUAGGGGUGAAAUCCCAGGGCUCAACCCUGGAACUGCCUUUAAUACUGGCAAUCUCGAGUCCGAGAGAGGUGAGUGGAAUUCCGAGUGUAGAGGUGAAAUUCGUAGAUAUUCGGAGGAACACCAGUGGCGAAGGCGGCUCACUGGCUCGGUACUGACGCUGAGGUGCGAAAGCGUGGGGAG